rnacentral:rRNA from 1 species
AAGGUAGCGAAAUUCCUUGUCGGGUAAGUUCCGACCCGCACGAAAGGCGUAAUGAUUUGGAUACUGUCUCAGAGAGGGGCUCGGUGAAAUAGACUUGUCUGUGAAGAUGCGGACUACCUGCACCAGGACAGAAAGACCCUAUGAAGCUUUACUGUAACUUGAAAUUGAAAUUGGACUUUAGUUGCGCAGUAUAGGUGGGAGGCAUUGAGUUUAUUCUUGCGGGAAUUUAGGAGCCAUCAGUGAGAUACCACUCUGCUAAUGUUAGAUUUCUAACUUUGAAUCCUAAUCGGGUCAACGGACAGUUUCAGGCGGGCAGUUUGACUGGGGCGGUCGCCUCCCAAACGGUAACGGAGGCGUACAAAGGUUUCCUCUGAACGUGUAGAAAUCGUAUCUAGAGUAUAAAGGCAUAAGGAAGCUUGACUGUGAGACUUACAAGUCGAGCAGGGACGAAAGUCGGUCUUAGUGAUCUGACGGUGCUGAGUGGAAAGGCCGUCACUCAACGGAUAAAAGUUACUCUAGGGAUAACAGGCUGAUCUCCCCCAAGAGUUCACAUCGACGGGGAGGUUUGGCACCUCGAUGUCGGCUCAUCGCAUCCUGGGGCGGUAGUACGUCCCAAGGGUUGGGCUGUUCGCCCAUG